AAAAUUUUAAAAUUAUUAGAAAUUUUUGAUUUUAAUCAUCAUUAUUUAAUUUAAAUAAAAUGAUUUUUUUUAGUUUUAGUAUUUUUUAAAGAAAUAAUUUUUUUUAUUAUAGUUAAUUAGUAUUGUGAAAGAAUUUUGAAAAUUUUGAAAAAUAAAUUUUUAAAAAGUAAUAUUUAAUUUAUGUACCUUGUGUAUCAGGGUUUAUUAAAAUUAUAAUAUUUAAAAUAUUUUUUUCGAAUUUAAAAGAUCUAAUUAUUUAUAAUUUUUAAUGUAAAAUUAUUAUUUUAAAUAAGUAGUUAGUAAUGAAAUGUUAUUCGUUUUUAAAUAUAUCUAAUUUUUUAAUAAAUAAAUUUAAUUUAUAUAUUAAAUUAUAAAAUCAAAAAAUUGAUUUUUUGAUUUUUGUUUAAUAUAAAUAUUUUAAGGGAUAAGCUUUAAAAUAAAUUAUUAUAAUUUUUGUUUACAAUUAAAUUAAUAUAAUUUAGGCUUAGAAAUAGCUUUUGUUUUAAAAAAUGUUUUAAUUUAUUAUUUUUAUGAAAAAUUUUUUUUUAAUUUAAUUUUUUAUUAAAAUUUUUUAUUUAAUUACUUAUUUUAAUUAAAAAUGAUAAAAUUAGUAAAUUUUUUGUUUUUAUAGUUAUAAAAUAAAUUAAAGGUUAUUUAAAGGAAUUCGGCAAAAAUUUUAUAUCUGCAUGUUUAACAAAAACAUCGUUUUUUGAAAAUAAUUUAAAAUAUAAUCUGCUCAAUGAAUUAAUUUUUAAAUGGCCGCAGUAUCUUAACUGUGCAAAGGUAGCAUAAUAAUUAGUCUUUUAAUUGAAGGCUGGCAUGAAUGAUUGGACAAGAUAUAAUCUGUCUUUAUUUAAAUUUAAAUUGAAUUUAAUUUUUAAGUUAAAAAGCUUAAAUAAUUUUAAAGGACGAGAAGACCCUAUAGAGUUUUAUAUUUUAUUUUUUAAUUAUAUAUUAAAUUUAUUUUUUAAUAAAUAAAAUAUUUUAUUGGGGUGAUAAAAAAAUUUAAUAAACUUUUUUAAUUAAUUUUACAUAAAUUAAUGAAUUUUAGAUCCUGAGUUUUGGAUUAAUAGAUUAAAUUACCUUAGGGAUAACAGCGUAAUUUUUUUUAGAGUUCUUAUCAAUUUAAAAGAUUGCGACCUCGAUGUUGGAUUAAAAUUUAAUUUAGGUGCAGGUGCUUAAAGUUUGGGUCUGUUCGACCUUUAAAAUUUUACAUGAUCUGAGUUCAAACCGGUGUAAGCCAGGUUGGAUUCUAUCCUUAAAUAGUUAAAAAUAUUUAGUACGAAAGGAAUAAUAUUUUAAUUUAAAAUUAGAGUAUAUUUAUACUUAAUGAAUUAUAUUAAUAAUUUUU
rnacentral:rRNA from 1 species